AUUGAACGCUGGCGGCAUGCUUUACACAUGCAAGUCGAACGAGUGGCGAACGGGUGAGUAAUAUAUCGGAACGUACCGAGUAAUGGGGGAUAACCAAUCGAAAGAUUGGCUAAUACCGCAUAUUAUUCGAGCGGCCGAUAACUGAUUAGCUCGUUGGUGGGGUAAAGGCCUACCAAGGCGACGAUCAUUAGCGGGUCUGAGAGGACGAUCCGCCACACUGGGACUGAGACACGGCCCAGCGUCCUACGGGAGGCAGCAGUGGGGAAUUUUGCACAAUGGGCGCAAGCCUGAUGCAGCCAGGACGCGUGUAUGAAGAAGGCCUUAGGGUUGUAAAGUACUUUCAGCGGGGAGGCGUUACCCGCAGAAGAAGCACCGGCUAACUCCGUGCCAGCAGCCGCGGUAAUUC
rnacentral:rRNA from 1 species